UACGGGGGGAGCAAGCGUUGUUCGGAUUUACUGGGCGUAAAGGGCGCGUAGGCGGCCACCGCAAGUCGGUUGUGAAAUCUCUGGGCUUAACCCAGAAAGGUCAAUCGAUACUGCGGGGCUAGAGUGCAGAAGGGGCAACUGGAAUUCUCGGUGUAGCGGUGAAAUGCGUAGAUAUCGAGAGGAACACCUGCGGCGAAGGCGGGUUGCUGGGCUGACACUGACGCUGAUGCGCGAAAGCUAGGGGAGCGAACGGG
rnacentral:rRNA from 1 species